AGUAGCUUGCUAUGAGCUGUUUUAGCGGCGCACGGGUGAGUAACGCGUGGAUAAUCUGCCUCUGCAAUCGGAAUAACGACUGGAAACGGUCGCUAAUACCGGAUACGCUUAAGUUUUACCUCUUAAGGAAAGAUGACCUCUAUUUAUAAGUUAUCGUGCAGAGAUGAGUCCGCGUCCCAUUAGCUUGUUGGCGGGGUAACGGCCCACCAAGGCGACGAUGGGUAGCCGGCCUGAGAGGGUGAACGGCCACAUUGGGACUGAGACACGGCCCAAACUCC
rnacentral:rRNA from 1 species